rnacentral:rRNA from 1 species
GCAUGCGAUCAUACCAGCACUAAAGCAUCGGAUCCCAUCAGAACUCCGAAGUUAAGCGUGCUUGGGCGAGAGUAGUACUAGGAUGGGUGACCUCCUGGGAAGUCCUCGUGUUGCAUCCC